CCCUUAGAUGUUCUGGGCCGCACGCGUGCUACACUGAGUGGAUCAGCGGGUCAGGUUGCGCGAAAGUGUUUCCUAAUCUUGAAAUCCGCUCGUGAUGGGGAUUGACGGUUGCAAUUUUCCGUCAUGAACGAGGAAUACCUUGUAAGCGCGGGUCAUCAUCCCGCGCUGAAUACGUCCCUGCCCUUUGUACACACCGCCCGUCGCUCCUACCGAUUGAGUGGUCCGGUGAGGCUUUGGGAUCUGAGCGGAAAGAGCGUUUCGCUGUUUCUGCUCGGAAAACUCAGUCGAACCUUAUCAUUUAGAUGAAGGAGAAGUCGUAACA
rnacentral:rRNA from 1 species